UUAUAUAUAUAUAUAUAGAUUUGAAUAGCCUAUGUAUACGGGCUUCAGCUCCCCAUAAGAAACCAGCAGAGAAAAUAGAUUUCUUUUUCUAGGAUUUUAUUGAGAAAAUAACAAAUGAAAUAAAAUAAAUACUCACUCACAAUCACUCAGUUACUGGGGUAAAAACACAUGCAU